ACUGCACCUGUAGAAAAAGAACAUUAAAUAUUUUAAUGCUUAGAAUUAAAUAUAUUCAACUUACGGAUGCAAAUUUUAGUCAUAAGGCUCAAAGCUUACUUCAUGGUGCAGAAUCCCCAUGUUCUUAUUUCUGUGUUUUGGCCUGGACAUAUUAAAAGAUGUACGUUUAUAUAUCAAAACAAUCCCCUUGAAACUGGAAAGGGAUGCUGGAUGAAUGUAGCAGCAACGGUGCAGAUACCAGGAGAGAAAGGGAAUAAUUUAACUAUACUUAGCUGGCUGUAUAACUGCAUGACAUCAAUUUUGCCUAAGUGAAGUUUUUUUUUAUCCCC